UACGUAGGGAGCAAGCGUUGUCCGGAAUCAUUGGGCGUAAAGCGCGCGUAGGUGGCUUCAUAAGUCCGUUGUGAAAGUCAAAGGCUCAACCUUUGAAAGCCGAUGGAUACUGUGGAGCUAGAGUACGGAAGAGGCGAGUGGAAUUCCUGGUGUAGCGGUGGAAUGCGCAGAUAUCAGGAGGAACACCGGUGGCGAAGGCGGGAUCCUGGGCCAGUACUGACGCUGAGGAGCGAAAGCGUGGGGAGCAAACAGG
rnacentral:rRNA from 1 species